rnacentral:rRNA from 1 species
UCAGACCUCAAAUCAGGUAGGACUACCCGCUGAACUUAA